rnacentral:sRNA from 1 species
GCCAGGUGGAGUGGUGUACGCCUGUAAUCCCAGCGACUGAGGAGGCUGAGGCAAGAGGUCAAGGCCAGCCUCUC